AUUGAACGCUGGCGGCAGGCUUAACACAUGCAAGUCGAGCGGGGUGAUGGUGCUUGCACUAUCACUUAGCGGCGGACGGGUGAGUAAUGCUUAGGAAUCUGCCUAUUAGUGGGGGACAACAUCUCGAAAGGGAUGCUAACACCGCAUACGUCCUACGGGAGAAAGCAGGGGAUCACUUGUGACCUUGCGCUAAUAGAUGAGCCUAAGUCGGAUUAGCUAGUUGGUGGGGUAAAGGCCUACCAAGGCGACGAUCUGUAGCGGGUCUGAGAGGAUGAUCCGCCACACUGGGACUGAGACACGGCCCAGACUCCUACGGGAGGCAGCAGUGGGGAAUAUUGGACAAUGGGGGGAACCCUGAUCCAGCCAUGCCGCGUGUGUGAGGAAGGCCUUAUGGUUGUAAAGCACUUUAAGCGAGGAGGAGGCUACUUUAGUUAAUACCUAGAGAUAGUGGACGUUACUCGCAGAAUAAGCACCGGCUAACUCUGUGCCAGCAGCCGCAGUAA
rnacentral:rRNA from 1 species